UUGGGGUGGAUUUGGGGCUCUCUGCAGGUUUAACAUUUCCAUUGUCUCGCAGCCCCUCGGGGCUGAUUUUUGGGGUGGAUUUAGGUUGAAUUUUGGGUGGAUUUGGGGUGGAUUUGGGAUUUCUGCAGCUUUAACGUUUCCAUUGUCUCUCAGCCCUCGGGGCUGGAUUUUGGGGUGGAUUUGGGGUGGAUUUGGGUAUUUCUGCAGCUUUAACGUUUCCAUUGUCUCUCAGCCCCUCGGGGCUGGAUUUUGGGGGGGAUUUGGGGUGAAUUUUGGGUGGAUUUUGGGGUGGAUUUGGGGUGGAUUUCGGGAUUUCUGCAGGUUUAACAUUUCCAUUGUCUCUCAGCCCCUCGGGGCUGGUUUUUGGGGUGGGUUUGGGGUGGAUUUUGCAGCUUUAUCAUUUCCAUUGUCUCUCAGCCCCUCGGGGCUGGUUUUUGGGGUGGAUUUGGGGUGGAUUUUCGGGAUUUCUGCAGGAUGAAUGUUUCCACUGUCUCUCAGCCCCUCGGGGCUGGAUUUUGGGGUGGAUUUGGGGUGGAUUCUGCAGCUUUAACGCUUCCCUUCUCCCCCAGCGCCCUCGGGAGCCGCGGAGCCGCCGGGCGGGGCAGGCAGAGAGGGCGGGGCCGCGCACAAUGCGGCGAGGUCACAGUGCA